rnacentral:lncRNA from 1 species
GCUGUGGACAUUUGCUCUCGAGGCCCGGGAGGUCCACUGCCCAGCAGCUGCAAGCCGGCCUGCCUGUGGUUCCCUAAAGAUCAGGACGGAUGGGGAAAAGCGCCCUUCUUAGGUGAAAGCAUCAGCUCGUUUCUACGUGUCAGCACUGGGAGAAGAUGUGGGGUCAGUGUCUUCACCAGGGAGCUGGUGCGAGGAUCAGCCCGUGAGAUGACAGACUCGGCGCCCUGCCAGAUGCUGUAAAGCGUGGAACUGUGUCAUCGAUGGUUAAGGAGAAAACAGGGUUUUGCAAAGGCACAACUAGAAGGAUGAAGGUGGCUGAAUAUUUGUCUUCUGAGUGAUACGGACUUUCCUUGAAGAAUGGCGCAUUUACGAGUGUCAGCCUGCCACCCGUUACUGCGAUUAGGUACAGUCUUCAUAUCUGAGCUCUAAAGAGAUGUAAACAUUGGUUGCCCAUGGAAGCCAUUUGGUUAUUUGUGUGUGUGUGUGUG